rnacentral:rRNA from 1 species
CGGGGUGGAGGUAACGCGUGGAUAACCUGCCUCACACUGGGGGAUAACAGUUAGAAAUGACUGCUAAUACCGCAUGAGCGCACAGUACCGCAUGGUACGGUGUGAAAAACUCCGGUGGUGUGAGAUGGAUCCGCGUCUGAUUAGCCAGUUGGCGGGGUAACGGCCCACCAAAGCGACGAUCAGUAGCCGACCUGAGAGGGUGACCGGCCACAUUGGGACUGAGACACGGCCCAA